rnacentral:rRNA from 1 species
GUAACCUGCCUGUAAGACUGGGAUAACUCCGGGAAACCGGAGCUAAUACCGGAUAGUUCCUUGAACCGCAUGGUUCAAGGAUGAAAGACGGUUUCGGCUGUCACUUACAGAUGGACCCGCGGCGCAUUAGCUAGUUGGUGGGGUAAUGGCUCACCAAGGCGACGAUGCGUAGCCGACCUGAGAGGGUGAUCGGCCACACUGGGACUGAGACACGGCCCAGACUCCUACGGGAGGCAGCAGUAGGGAAUCUUCCGCAAUGGACGAAAGUCUGACGGAGCAACGCCGCGUGAGUGAUGAAGGUUUUCGGAUCGUAAAGCUCUGUUGUUAGGGAAGAACAAGUGCGAGAGUAACUGCUCGCACCUUGACGGUACCUAACCAGAAAGCCACGGCUAACUACGUGCCAGCAGCCGCGGUAAUACGUAAGUGGCAAGCGUUGUCCGGAAUUAUUGGGCGUAAAGGGCUCGCAGGCGGUUUCUUAAGUCUGAUGUGAAAGCCCCCGGCUCAACCGGGGAGGGUCAUUGGAAACUGGGAAACUUGAGUGCAGAAGAGGAGAGUGGAAUUCCACGUGUAGCGGUGAAAUGCGUAGAGAUGUGGAGGAACACCAGUGGCGAAGGCGACUCUCUGGUCUGUAACUGACGCUGAGGAGCGAAAGCGUGGGGAGCGAACAGGAUUAGAUACCCUGGUAGUCCACGCCGUAAACGAUGAGUGCUAAGUGUUAGGGGGUUUCCGCCCCUUAGUGCUGCAGCUAACGCAUUAAGCACUCCGCCUGGGGAGUACGGUCGCAAGACUGAAACUCAAAGGAAUUGACGGGGGCCCGCACAAGCGGUGGAGCAUGUGGUUUAAUUCGAAGCAACGCGAAGAACCUUACCAGGUCUUUGACAUCCUCUGACAACCCUAGAGAUAGGGCUUUCCCUUCGGGGACAGAGUGACAGGUGGUGCAUGGUUGUCGUCAGCUCGUGUCGUGAGAUGUUGGGUUAAGUCCCGCAACGAGCGCAACCCUUGAUCUUAGUUGCCAGCAUUUAGUUGGGCACUCUAAGGUGACUGCCGGUGACAAACCGGAGGAAGGUGGGGAUGACGUCAAAUCAUCAUGCCCCUUAUGACCUGGGCUACACACGUGCUACAAUGGACAGAACAAAGGGCUGCGAGACCGCAAGGUUUAGCCAAUCCCAUAAAUCUGUUCUCAGUUCGGAUCGCAGUCUGCAACUCGACUGCGUGAAGCUGGAAUCGCUAGUAAUCGCGGAU